AAGCCAGUGGUGAACUCCACAUCCGCAUCCUUUGCUGAGGAUACGGUUAACGGAGCGAAAGCGACGUUCAACCGCAAAACAAGCAGAGGGGGCUUAGUGGUGGGGUGACUGCGUACCUUUUGUAUAAUGGGUCAGCGACUUAUAUUCUGUAGCAAGGUUAACCGAAUAGGGGAGCCGGAGGGAAACCGAGUCUUAAUUGGGCGUUAAGUUGCAGGGUAUAGACCCGAAACCCGGUGAUCUAGCCAUGGGCAGGUUGAAGGUUGGGUAACACUAACUGGAGGACCGAACCGACUAAUGUUGAAAAAUUAGCGGAUGACCUGUGGCUGGGGGUGAAAGGCCAAUCAAACCGGGAGAUAGCUGGUUCUCCCCGAAAGCUAUUUAGGUAGCGCCUCGUGAAUUCAUCUCCGGGGGUAGAGCACUGUUUCGGCUAGGGGGCCAUCCCGGCUUACCAACCCGAUGCAAACUGCGAAUACCGGAGAAUGUUAUCACGGGAGACACACGGCGGGUGCUAACGUCCGUCGUGAAGAGGGAAACAACCCAGACCGCCAGCUAAGGUCCCAAAGUCAUGGUUAAGUGGGAAACGAUGUGGGAAGGCCCAGACAGCCAGGAUGUUGGCUUAGAAGCAGCCAUCAUUUAAAGAAAGCGUAAUAGCUCACUGGUCGAGUCGGCCUGCGCGGAAGAUGUAACGGGGCUAAACCAUGCACCGAAGCUGCGGCAGCGAACGUAUCACCCAAGACAACUUUACGGAGUUGACGAUUGACGGAGCGAAGCGACGUCAAAGCGUUCAUUAAAGUCGAGUUGGCUUAGGGAUACGUUCGUUGGGUAGGGGAGCGUUCUGUAAGCCUGUGAAGGUGUGUCGUGAGGCAUGCUGGAGGUAUCAGAAGUGCGAAUGCUGACAUAAGUAACGAUAAAGCGGGUGAAAAGCCCGCUCGCCGGAAGACCAAGGGUUCCUGUCCAACGUUAAUCGGGGCAGGGUGAGUCGACCCCUAAGGCGAGGCCGAAAGGCGUAGUCGAUGGGAAACGGGUUAAUAUUCCCGUACUUGGUGUUACUGCGAAGGGGGGACGGAGAAGGCUAUGUUGGCCGGGCGACGGUUGUCCCGGUUUAAGCGUGUAGGUGUGUGUUCCAGGUAAAUCCGGUUCACUUUAACACUGAGGCGUGACGACGAGGCACUACGGUGCU
rnacentral:rRNA from 1 species